rnacentral:rRNA from 1 species
UACGUAGGUGGCAAGCGUUGUCCGGAAUUACUGGGUGUAAAGGGCGUGUAGGCGGGGAUGCAAGUCAGAUGUGAAAUUCCGGGGCUCAACCCCGGCGCUGCAUCUGAAACUGUAUCUCUUGAGUGCUGGAGAGGAAAGCGGAAUUCCUAGUGUAGCGGUGAAAUGCGUAGAUAUUAGGAGGAACACCAGUGGCGAAGGCGGCUUUCUGGACAGUAACUGACGCUGAGGCGCGAAAGCGUGGGGAGCGAAC